CUUAACUUAUAUAAGAAAGAGAUUAUGAAAUAUAUCAAUAUACUUAGUUUUCCAAAUUUAUUACUCAAAAUGGAAGGACAAUUAGUUUUUUACAAAUCCACAAAGAAAGUAGUAGCCAUUUUUUUCAUCCUAACUCUAGCCAUGGCUGGUAAAGCGGUCGGUAAUUCUUGUACUAAGGACGGAGAAAAUUGCCAUCCUACUCAAGGCACAAAUUGUUGUCCUGGAUUUGCUUGCGACGAAUCUCAACUUACUUGUUACACUUUACCCCCUGGGGUGUCCUCCUGGUGCGCAGCAGCCGGACACCAUUGUAGUAUGUUUGGUAAAGUGUGUUGUCCCGGACACCAAUGUACAAGCUCUUUUAGAGGGCAUUGUGAUAUAGUUAAUGCAUAGGGGUUUUUCUUAAUUUGUUAUGCAUUAUAAAUUUAGAUUUCCUUUGUAGAUAUUGUAUGAUUUUACUAUAAAAAUAAUAAUACCCCGUAAUAUAUAUUUAUCUAUGUUGGUAUUUUAUAACAUACAUUUUUGUACCA